UGCCAGCCGCGCGGUAAUACGGAGGGGGCUAGCGUUGUUCGGAAUUACUGGGCGUAAAGCGCACGUAGGCGGACCAGAAAGUUGGGGGUGAAAUCCCGGGGCUCAACCUCGGAACUGCCUUCAAAACUAUUGGUCUUGAGUUCGAGAGAGGUGAGUGGAAUUCCGAGUGUAGAGGUGAAAUUCGUAGAUAUUCGGAGGAACACCAGUGGCGAAGGCGGCUCACUGGCUCGAUACUGACGCUGAGGUGCGAAAGCGUGGGGAGCAAACAGG
rnacentral:rRNA from 1 species